UUACAUUUUGACUCAUUUUCAUCUUUUCAUUUGCCCGUAUUAUAUUUUCACUUUUCCUCCCGAGUGCUUAUCUUCCGCGAUGCUCGUAAAACCUAGAAAGCUUCAAAUCUUCGUCUCGAAUAAGAAAAUACAUUUUCACGCCGCGAAUCUUCGUCUCAAACCAGUUUUGCUCUUCGAUUGUGCAUUUCUCAAUCACAACGUUCAAUUAGUAAGGUUUCUUUGCCCUUUUUGAUUUUUGAAUUUCUCAUGCCUUAAAUCUCUUAUUCGCUCUAAUCACAUUCGUCUUGCUCUAAAUCAGUUUUAAGAGGUUGAAGCAUAAUAAGAGUGUAUUCUAGUUAAGUUCUUUAGGGUUAUUAUAUCACUACAUUAGUUUCUGCAUUAGUUUGUCGAUGUUUAUUUGUUUUAACUUUUUUUCUACAAUGACUUUUAAUUGUUUUUUCACUUAGAAGUGUUCAUGAGGAAAAUUUUCUGAACAAAUCCUUUUUGUCUUUUCUCAUACUAAUAAUGUUUCGGAAACUAUUUCUGUUUUGUUUAAUUUUUGUGCCUAAGGCUGGUGCCUAUUAAUGUAUGGAGCUGGAAGUGUUGCUUAAAUAUGAUGCUCGUAUACUCUAAGGGAAUGAAAUAGUCAAUUGUUUGGCAUCGGGGUGGUGUUUUGUGUGAUAAUGUUUGAAAGGUGUUCUUGUGGUUAUGAAUUUUAUAAAUACAAGGGAUGAAAAACUUGAGUAAGCUUACUUAUGGUUGGGGUUCUGAAUGUUGGGUUCUGAAGUGUCACCAUUGUAGUGGAUGAGAAGUUGUGUAAGUGAAUGAGCAUGUUUAGUGGAUGGUUGGAGUUACACCUAUUGAGGAUUAGAUGACUAAAUCUUGCCCGUGGUGGUUUGACUUUUAUCUAAAUGGUGUGUUUGAAAAAUUUGUCAUAACACAAUGACAUUAUUUGGCUAUCCUUAUUGCUGGAUGGGUAGAUGAGUCAUGCUGAGCACUAUAAGCUCAAGCUCAAUGCAUAAGAAAAUAUGUUGGUCAAGCUUGGCUUUAUUUCUUUGAAGAAGCCAAAUAUAAAUAUUCAGUUUGAUUGGCUAUGUUGUAAUAUCUAGCCUUGUAGAAGAUGUGCAAUCAAUCAUGCUUUCAACUAUUGUUCACAACAAGAACUGACCUGCAUAAGAAAUAUGUAGAUUGCUGGAGUAUACCACUAGAAGCAUUGUCAUAAGGUUGUUGGGGUAUUCUGGCUUCAACAAGCCCAAGGUUCUAUUUGUCUUGAUAUAAUUUGAAUCGUACAUCUCAUUAAAUGUGCAUAUAAUUCACAUGAAAGUGUUUAAAGCACCAAUUACUUGUACAACCUCUUCAUUUUGGGAAAUGAACUUGACUUGUUCCUUUGAAAAAAUGCGUAUACUGGCACAUGUGGCCCUUCACGUUUUAGAUAUAACAAGACCUCCCUUGCCCAAGAGGCAGCCAACCUGUGGUGAACGCACAAGAAGCUUAGCAACAACUGCAGCACUUGGCUCAAACCCAAUCUGUGUAUAAGGAUUUCAAGAAAUCCCUUCGGGUGGAAAAUCAACUGAGCUAGCUAGGCAAGUUGUAGGCUCCCUCAUGCUGCUUCUGUAGAAAAUGUCUACGAUCUGCCUGCAGACAAGUGUAGCAAAAGUGCCCAAAUGCAGGCAAUUAAUAAGCAAUGGACAACACAAUCCUCUAGAACACAAUCCAGCUCCUAUUUCCCCAAGAAAUUGAGGCAAGAAAAGUAGUUGGCUCCUUAAAUAGUGAGCAAGAAGCUCAAAAUCUGAGUCUUGAAACAAUAUUUUAUGCUAACCUAAGGAAUACAAGCAUACAACCUUCUGGUGGGGCAUUAAGCAGAAACAAUUCAAGGAUUGUGGCACUAACAUCAACAACACAGGAGGACGAGGAUGUUGCAUUGACUAGAAGGUUAAGGUGAGAAAUUGAUGAACAAAGCCCAAGAACAACUUGAAUGAGGACAAGAAGAAUGAACAAAGUUGCUUAUAUUUUUUAUUUUUUAAUCGAGCAGUAUCAGGCAAUGAACCAACCUAAUAUUGGCAAGCCCAAUACCAAUAGGGAUAAUCCAGAAAACUGUUAGAAAGGUGAACUCCUUUAUCUUAGUAUUGUACAAGUCUUAUUAACACACUUUGUAAAAACAUAGUUUGUCAUUAAAUUUUAAUUUUUUUAAGGUUAAAAUA